rnacentral:misc_RNA from 1 species
GAUGAAGAACGCAGCGAAAUGCGAUAAGUAAUGUGAAUUGCAGAAUUCAGUGAAUCAUCGAAUCUUUGAGCGCACCUUGCACCCUUUGGCAUUCCGAAGGGUAUGCUCGUUUGAGUGUCAUUGUACUCUCACACUUCCGAUCUUUGGAUUGGGAGCGGUGGACUUGGGUGUUGCUGCUUACUGUGGCUCACCUCAAAUCGAUUCGUGCACCUCUUGGUUGGACAUAGUACGGCGUGAUAAGUGUCUUCGCCGGCACCUCAGUAGAGGGUGGCUGAUCGGGAGCUCUGCUUCAAACCGUCCUCGGACAACAACUGACAACUUGACCUCAAAUCGAGUAGGACUACCCGCUGAACUUAAGCAUAUCAAUAAGCGGAGGA